rnacentral:lncRNA from 1 species
CUCUCUCUCUGUGUGUGUGUGUGUGUGUGCGUGCGUGCGUGCAUGCGUGCGCCCGCGCGCCCGCGCGCCCGCAAGAGGGUGUGGGCAGGAAUAAAGCUCUUCAAGCUACAAUCUCUCUUACAUACCUUUAUCUGAGAGUAAGGACUACUGAACAUGAUGAUGCUAUGUGCACAUGCACGGGAUUGUCUUUCUAAACAGACAAAAAGUAUCAAAGUAAAUGGCAGGGUGGUGAUAGGAUGUUCUGAUGAGCAUGCAAAGAAAGACUAUUGUGCUUCUUCAAGAGGAACGGCUUAUUGACUCAGCUUAUCUGGGCUUGAACUUUUCUUCUCCGUUUAUCACCGGAGAAAUUUUCUUCAAAGAAAUCUGCCACCUGCUGUUAACUUUCCCAGUACGCACACCUUUGCCUCAUCUACAUGUGUGUCCAAGAGGCAUCCAUGCUGCUGAAAAAUGUAAGGAGAAAUGAGAAUUAGAGCUUCUUCUCUAUGAAGGAAGACUAAAGAAAAUGGAGCAUAGCUCCAGAACAUAGCGCUGGGGGAUUGUUCAAUGAACCUAAGUGGUUUGUGCAAACAUUUUUAAAUUUAAAUCAGUAAAAUGUGUAAUAUUAAACAGUUCCAAUUGUCAGUAAUUCAUUUGCCUAUAACAGAAGGCAAUGUGUGUUUGUGUGUGUUAUUAAGUC